UACGGGGGGGGCAAGCGUUGUUCGGAAUUACUGGGCGUAAAGGGUUCGUAGGUGGCUUGUUAAGUCAGACGUGAAAUCCCUCGGCUCAACCGGGGAACUGCGUCUGAGACUGAUGAGCUCGAGUGCAGGAGAGGAACGCGGAAUUCCAGGUGUAGCGGUGAAAUGCGUAGAUAUCUGGAGGAACACCGGUGGCGAAGGCGGUUCUCUGGGCAUUACCUGACGCUGAGGAGCGAAAGUGUGGGGAGCGAACAGG
rnacentral:rRNA from 1 species